rnacentral:misc_RNA from 1 species
GUUCUCCUCUGCCUUCAAAAUUCCGAAGUUAAAACAGGGCACCUUAUCAACUCCUGUCUUAUGAAGUCCAUAGCACACCGUUUUUUAACCAUUUAGUUAAAAACAGGGUAGCUUCUUCAGUGUAAUUGUUUAUUGAGCUUCUCUAGUAGCUCUUUAUUUUGCACUUUGCAUUUGUUGUAAAGUAUGUAAUUGCCUAACCUUGGAGCAAGUAUUCUUUCAUUUAAUCUUAUUAGGCAGUUAUGCUGUGGGGAUUUGUCAAUGCGAAGAAUCUCUUGAAAAGAUCGUAUAUUAGAUAGAAAUUCUCUUGAGCAAUGCUUCCUCAACUUGGACUCUGGUCUGGUAAGUGGUAACCUAGUUCAUAGUCUUCCUAAACUAUUGCACAUAGUCUUAGCAGGAUUAAUGUUGGUGGAUUAAUUGUUGCUCUUGCUUAUUUUUGUAACAUUGUGUGUUUCAAGUUUGAUGGAUGUCAGAUAUUUAGACGGUUUCAGAUUACUAAAAUGCUACUGAGUACAGAAAUAACACAAUCACCAGGCCAUGAACUUCUCAAGUACUGUAAUCCAUCAAAAAGGAACGACUAACGUUGUGAUUCUCUUUUGAAUACCCAAAAAACUGUACAUGAUAAUAUGAAGAACUUGUCACCAAGCAGACCUCCAUACAAUCGGAGACCACACAGACCGAAAGGAUGAUUGGUAAGAGACCAUCACCAAAAGCACCACCACCAACGCCACCAUGCCCCAAGGCAAGUCCCAGCUUCGACGAAUCCUGCCAUAGUGUGCUUUUGUAACAGGAAAAAUGAAACUCUCAAAAUUUGAUAAAAGCUGGGCAAGAAGGAUCAGUAGAACAGGCACGAACAACAGAAACAACUUGAAGUUAAUCACCGUAUGCUGCAUCUGGUCCUUGACGUUAAAAUAGGAUGAAACGAACAGGAGGAGGAAAAUUAUCAAGAAAAUGGCAAGCAAGGGAAAAGGAGGUGGUGAGACAGAGGCUAGAGUCUUCUCUGUCCAUCCUUGCUUCCAUCCCCUUCUCUCUGGCCAUAACCAACCCAUAUCUCUCUCUUCUCUCAGCAACCUUUUUUGCUUGGCACUUCUCUAGGCCUCUGUCCUGCAAGAAUGGGUAUAUGUAGGAGAAUUGAUGGUUGAUAUGUCGGUUCGCUUUAGCAUAAAUUCUGGGGUUUUGAUUCUAGCCCCAACCGAUCCAUCUUUUGGACUUAUGCCUUCUGAAGUGGAUUGAUACGGUUACACUUUCGGCUUUCGCUGCUGUUAUUUUUAUAAAAAGAAAUUGAAAAUGGGUAGAUAAAGAGAAGGAAC